GCCGGUAUAGCUUAGAUGGUAGAGCAGCGCAUUCGUAAUGCGAAGGUCAGAGGUUCGACUCCUCUUAUCGGCACCA
rnacentral:tRNA from 1 species